rnacentral:rRNA from 1 species
UACGAAGGGUGCAAGCGUUACUCGGAAUUACUGGGCGUAAAGCGUGCGUAGGUGGUCUGUUAAGUCUGAUGUGAAAGCCCUGGGCUCAACCUGGGAAUUGCAUUGGAUACUGGCAGGCUAGAGUGCGGUAGAGGGUAGUGGAAUUCCCGGUGUAGCAGUGAAAUGCGUAGAGAUCGGGAGGAACACCAGUGGCGAAGGCGACUACCUGGACCAGCACUGACACUGAGGCACGAAAGCGUGGGGAUCAAACAGG